rnacentral:rRNA from 1 species
UACAGAGGGUGCAAGCGUUAAUCGGAAUUACUGGGCGUAAAGCGUGCGUAGACGGUUAUGUAAGUCGGGUGUGAAAGCCCCGGGCUCAACCUGGGAAUGCCAUUCGAGACUGCAUAGCUAGGGUGCGGAAGAGGGAAGCGGAAUUUCCGGUGUAGCGGUGAAAUGCGUAGAUAUCGGGAGGAACACCAGUGGCGAAGGCGACUACCUGGCCUGUUCUUGACGCUGAGGCGCGAAAGCUAGGGUAGCAAACGGG